CUUCUUCUUCUUGUCGCUCUCAGUUUCCAAUGAGGCCUCCGUCGGAUCGAGUGAAUCAGAUGUGUUAUCUGGAGUGCCUUCAUCUGAUGCUUGGUUUCCGUCAAUAUUCAUCCAUGACGAGUAGGCUGCAUCGGAGACUGGAUCCGCCCGGAAACGUGGAAUACUGUUCCCCUCGUCCUCGGCUCCAGCGGGAGAUGACAAAAUGCCUCUUCAGGUUAUCCAGUUGAUGUGCAGAUAGACAAGCAAGGUGCACCCACUUCCACG